CCCCUCCUAAGCCCAUGCUGGCUGGAUCUGUUGCCCCAGCCAUCCUGUAGAUGUCAUAUGACCCCACUCAAGACGAUCAGCUCCAUAACCCUGCCAGGCACCAAGGUUAAGCUGACUGGCCUGUAGUUCCCCAGACCAUCCUUCCAGCCCUCUUUGUGAACAAGCAUCACCAACCUCCUAUUGUCUGUGACCUCCUCAGUUAGCUAUGACUGAUGAUAAAUUAUACCACAGCAGCUUAGAGAGCUCUUACAAUAGCUCCCUCAUUACCCUAGGAUGGAUCCUAUGCAGUCCUAUAGACUUCUGAUCAUCUGAAUAGCAUUGCUAAUCACUAACUACUUCCUUCUGGAUUUUCAGGAGGUCUGUUCCGCUCUUCGACCUUUUUUACCAGCUCAGGGGACCAGUUGCCCUCAGAAUAAUUGGUCUUACUGAGGCUGAAGACUGAGGCAAAGAAGUUUCAAUUCAGGCCUAUUAAGAUAUGGGCUGGCAUCCAAACUGAAGCUGGUCCUAAAGAAAGAAAAUAUGAAAAAGCUUCUGCAGGCAUAGGAUUAUGUUGCUUCUUUACAACUCAUCUUCUGGACUCUAAUAAACUUUCAGGCAAACCAGUUUCAUCCACAGGAAGAAAAACAAAAGAACCGAUUGGAAUAGUCUCCAUUAGUUUUCAUCUUCAACACGACCAUCUUUUCAACACAGUGAGUAUCCAAGGUUAGACUGAAAUAAUUAAUUGUGCACUAGAUGCAUCCACCAGCCAGCUUCUACAGAAGCAGACAACCCUGCACUGAAAAAGUAUCUUUCCUCUGUGAUAGAACAAUGCU